rnacentral:tRNA from 1 species
GGCGAGGUAGCUCAGUUGGCUUAGAGUACUUGACUGUUAAUCAAGGGGUCGCAGGUUCGAGUCUUGCCCUCGUCU